rnacentral:rRNA from 1 species
GAAUUGUAUUUUCAAAAUGCAUUGGUAACACAACUGCNNNUGUUUGUUUAUUGGAAAGAACAUCACAAAGGGUGACAAUCCCAUGUGUCAUGUGUAUGUUUUGUGUACAGUGUGCAUUAUAUGAAUCACAUUCAUUGACAAUUGAAUGCAAAUAGAAUGGUAAAUUUCAUUUAAUCAUAAAUAUGUUGUUGACAACUUAUAGCAAACAAAUACCAUGAGGGAAAUGUGAAAAGGAUUUUGAAAAGAAAAUUAAAAGAGCUUGCAAUUGCUGAACUGAUAAGCAAACAAAACAUACGUGUGUAUGCAAGAUUGUUGUAAUGCUUAGCAUCUUAUGCAAGGCUAUUGCAAUGAUUUUUUGUAUAGUGAUGGUACCUUUUUUUUAGAAUUUGGAAUGUCUUUUUUUGAGUGUGAAUGGAAUUUUGUUUGUUAGCAAAGGAAUGCACUUUUAGAUUCAUUGUUUGAUUUG